rnacentral:lncRNA from 1 species
AUUCUCCUGCUUCAGCCUCCCGAGUAGCUGGGACUAUAGGCCCGGCCACCACAACCAGCUAAUUUUUUUUUUUUUUUUUUUUUUUUUUUUAGUAGAGACGGGGUUUCACCAUGUUAGUCAGGAUGGUCUCUAUCUCCUGACCUCGCGAUCCGCCCGCUUCGGCCUCCCAAAGUGCUGGGAUUACAGGUGUGAGCCACUGUGCCCGGCUGAAAGCCUGAUAUAUCUUUCUACCAUAGCAAGAACUAGCAGCACCUUACCCAGUAUGAGACCGACCCAGGUCUGCCUUAAUAUAUAUACCGUAAUAUAUACCUAACAGUUUUUUUUUUUUUUUUGAGAGGGAGUCUCGCUCUGUCGCCCAGGCUGGAGUGCAGUAUCGCGAUAUCGGUUCGCUGCAAGCUCCGCCUCCCGGGGUCACGUCAUUCUCCUGCCUCAGCUUCCGGAGCAGCUGGGACUGCUGGCGCCCGCCACUACGCUCGGCUAAUUUUUUUGUGUUUUUAGUAGAGACGGGCUUUCACCGUGUUGGCCUAGCGGUUCUCCAACUCCUGACCUCAUGAUCCCCCCGCCUCAGCCUCCCAAAGUGCUGGGAUUACAAGCGUGAGCCACCGCGACCCGCCAACACUCUUGACAACAGUGCUGUGCUAAGAACUUGGGGGACUUCAAAAAGUUCACCAGUUCCUGUGUCCAUGGGUGAAAAGAUUUUCUACAUCUUUCCUUGACUAGAAACAGAAGUCCUGAAACAAGGUACACCUUCUUGAGGCUUACUUGGUGAGUCUAAUUUGUCUUCUGGCACCACUGUGAAUUUGAAGGCUUACGUCUUCUUCCCUGAUCAUAUGUUUUCUACAUGUCAGGAAUAUAACGUCAGGAGGCCAGAGGCUUUGUCCUGCCUAAUGUGUUAUUUCCACACUGAAUAAAAGCACCUGAGUCCUGGCAUAUGGCAAGGGAGUAAAGCCAAACUUUUUACCACAUGGCAAAAAUAAUUGUAUUUUGCAACAGACUAAAAGCUUAAUGCUAUACAGACUUUGGGUUGGUGGAGUUACUUGAGGAUUUACUCCAGCAAAACAAAAAAAAGAAUGAAAGAAAGAGAAAGAUAAAAAUAUGAAAGAAGCAACAGACCUAUUCCAGAAAUGUAAUGAAAAAAGGCCACGAAGUUUGACAACUAUGUAUUAAAUUUACAAUCAGUCCAAAUUAGACUGGUAGUCAGAUUGAUAUGAGAAGUACAUUUUCAAAAAGAUGUACUAUACCAAAUAAUAUGAGUGCAAAACUCUGGAUGAUUUUAGUAAUAAUGUGAAGACACAUAUUUCUUUUGACAAUUAAAAAAAAGAAAAUGAAUUGGAAACUUCAGGAAACGUCAGAAAAUACAAAAUGCUCUGUAGGAAGUAAUUGUCUAAAUGAGAGGUGAAGCCAGUGGGACUUCCUGGAUUGGAUGGGGACUUGGAGAACUUUUCUGUCUAGCUAAAGGAUUGUAAACACACCAAUCAGUGCUCUGUGUCUAGCUAAAGGAUCGCAAAUGCACCAAUCAGCACUCUGUAAAAAUUCUGUGUCUAGCUAAAGGUUUGUAAAUGCACCAAUCAGCAAUCUGUUAGAAUGCACCAAUCAGUGCUCUGUGUCUAGCUAAAGGUUUGUAGAUGCACCAAUCAGCACUCUGUAAAAACGCAUCAAUCAGCGUUCUGUGUCUAGCUAAAGGUUUGUAGACACAUCAAUCAGCACUCAGUAAAAACGCACCAAUCAGCACUCUGUAAAAUGGACCAGUCAGCGCUCUGUAAAAUGGACCAAUCAGCAGGAUGUGGGCGGAGCCAAUAAGGGAAUAAAAGCUGGCCACCAGAGCCAGCCAGUGGCAACCUGCUUGGGUCCCCUUCCACCCUGUGGAAGCUUUAUUCUUUUGCCCUUCACAAUAAAUCUUGCUGCUGCUUACUCUUUGGGUCUACAUUACCUUUAUGAGCUGUAUCGCUCACCAUGAGGGUCUGCGGCUUCACUCCUGAGGUCAGCGAGACCACGAACCCACUGGGAGGAACAAACAACUCCAGAAGCACAACCUUUAAGAGCUGUAACACUCACUGUGAAGGUCUGUGGCUUCACUCCUGAAGUCAGCGAGACCACGAACCCACCAGAAGGAAGAAACUCCGGACACAUCUGAAAUCUGAAGAAACAAACUCUGGACACACCAUCUUUAAGAACUGUAACACUCACUGCGAGGGUCCCCGACUUCAUUCUUAAAGUCAGUGAGACCAAGAACCCACUGGAAGGAACCAAUUCUGGGCACAUAAAUAUGCAGCAAAAUACAAUAUGGUAUGAUUUUGAGCAAUUGAUGAAUAUGUAGAAAAAUUAUUCAAUCCUGAUGUUUGAAAUAUGCUACUUUGAGUAGCAGCCUUGUAGUGACCUAAAUGUAUUUCUGUAGAUAAAAUUGAACUAUGUGGUACUAUAGUGAAUAAUGUGUGUUACAAUAUAAUAGCAUGCACAAUUGUAUAUAUGAAGUUUAGAACACUUCUACAUUUUAAUAUCUGUAAUAUGAUUAUACUCAUAUAUGUGUACUCAGAUUUUAAAACAUAAUAAAAUAUAAAUGUUAUUAUUGUCUUUCUAGGAAGAUGGUGAGGUUUUUUUUUUUUUUUUUUUUUUCAGUCUCACUCCGUCACCCAGACUGGAGUGCGGUGGCAUGAUCUCAGCUCAAUGCAACCUCUGCCUCCUGCGUUCAAGUGAGUCUCAUGCCUCACCCUCCCUAUUAGCUGGGAUUACAGGUGUGUACCACGACACCCGUCUAAUUUUUUGGUAUUUUUAGUAGAGACGGGGUUUCACCAUGUUGGUCAGGCUGGUUUCAAACUCCUGGCCUCAUGUGAUCCAUCCAUCUUGGCCUCCCAAAGUGCUGGGAUUACAGGCAGGGGCCACCGCAUCUGGCCGAUUGUGAG